GACGUAGGGCGCGAGCGUUGUCCGGAUUUAUUGGGCGUAAAGAGCUCGUAGGCGGCUUGUCGCGUCGAAUGUGAAAACCCACGGCUCAACUGUGGACUUGCAUUCGAUACGGGCAGGCUAGAGUUCGGUAGGGGAGACUGGAAUUCCUGGUGUAGCGGUGAAAUGCGCAGAUAUCAGGAGGAACACCGGUGGCGAAGGCGGGUCUCUGGGCCGAUACUGACGCUGAGGAGCGAAAGCGUGGGGAGCGAACAGG
rnacentral:rRNA from 1 species